UACGGAGGAUCCAAGCGUUAUCCGGAAUCAUUGGGUUUAAAGGGUCCGUAGGCGGUUUUAUAAGUCAGUGGUGAAAUCCGGCAGCUCAACUGUCGAACGGCCAUUGAUACUGUAGAACUUGAAUUAUUGUGAAGUAACUAGAAUAUGUAGUGUAGCGGUGAAAUGCUUAGAUAUUACAUGGAAUACCGAUUGCGAAGGCAGGUUACUAACAAUAUAUUGACGCUGAUGGACGAAAGCGUGGGGAGCGAACAGG
rnacentral:rRNA from 1 species